GACGAACGCUGGCGGCGUGCUUAACACAUGCAGGUCGAACGGAGCACCCUUGAUUGAGGUUUCGGCCAAAUGAUAGGAAUGCUUAGUGGCGGACUGGUGAGUAACGCGUGAGGAACCUGCCUUUCAGAGGGGGACAACAGUUGGAAACGACUGCUAAUACCGCAUGACGCAUUUUGAUCGCAUGGUCGAAAUGCCAAAGAUUUAUCGCUGAAAGAUGGCCUCGCGUCUGAUUAGCUAGUUGGUGAGGUAACGGCCCACCAAGGCGACGAUCGGUAGCCGGACUGAGAGGUUGACCGGCCACAUUGGGACUGAGAUACGGCCCAGACUCCUACGGGAGGCAGCAGUGGAGAAUAUUGGGCAAUGGGCGCAAGCCUGACCCAGCAACGCCGCGUGAAGGAAGAAGGCUUUCGGGUUGUAAACUUCUUUUAAGUGGGAAGAGUAGAAGACGGUACCACUUGAAUAAGCCACGGCUAACUACGUGCCAGCAGCCGCGGUAA
rnacentral:rRNA from 1 species